AGGUCUGCAGUGGAGCCCAAGGCCAGCUGAGCCCGGUCGUGAGAUCCCAGACAGGAGGAGUAGGGAACCCCUCAGAUGCCCAGACAUGGACCUGGAAAACAAAGUGAAGACGACGGGCUUAGGUCACAAGCAAGGAUUUGGAGCCCCUUGUUUAAAAUGCAAAGAAAAAUGUGAAGGAUUCGAACUGCACUUCUGGAGAAAAAUAUGUUGUAACUGCAAGUGUGGCCAAGAAGAGCAUGAUGUCCUCUUGAGCAAUGAAGAGGAUCGAAAACUGGGAAAAUUUUUUGAAGACACCAAGUAUACCACUCUGAUUGCAAAACUAAAGUCAGGUGGAAUUCCCAUGUAUAAACGCAAUGUUAUGAUAUUGACCAAUCCAGUUGCUGCCAAGAAGAAUGUCUCCAUCAAUACAGUUACCUAUGAGUGGGCUCCUCCUGUCCACAGUCAGGCAUUGGCCACGUAGUACGUGCAGAUGCUACCCAAGGAAAAGCAGCCAGUGGCAGGCUCAGAGGGGGCACAGUACCGGAAGCAGCAGCUGGCAAAGAGCUCCCUGCACAUGAUCAGGACCCUUCAAAGUGCCAUGAAUUGUCUCCCAGAGAGGUGAAGGAGAUGGAACAGUUUGUGAAGUAAUUUAAGAGUGAGGAUCUGGGAGUAGGAGAUGUCAAACUUCCCUGUGAGAUGGAUGCCUGAGGCCCCAAACAAAUGUGCAUUCCUGGAGGGGAUGGAAGCACCCCACCAGCAGCGGGGGCCAUGGAGGACAGAUCUGCUGAGCACAAAAGUAUUCAACAUUCCUGCUAUUGUUGCAAACUGAGUAUGAAGGCAGGCAACCCACCAUCUAUGCCGAAAGGGCCGGCUGUGAUAAACUGUGGCACCCAGCCUCUUUUGUCUGCAGCAUCUGCCAUGAACUCCUGGUUGACAUGAUUUAUUUCUGGAAGAAUGAGAAGCUAUACUGUGGCAGACAUUACUGUUUCAGUGAGAAACCCCGACGUGCUGGCUGUGAUGAGCUGAUAUUCAGCAGUGAGUCUACCCAGGCAGAAAACCAGAAUUGGCACCUGACACACCUCUGCUGCUUUAGCUGGGGAAUUAUACGUGAUGGUCAAGGACAAGCCCGUGUGCAAGCCCUGCUAUGUAAAGAAUCACGCUGCGGUGUGUCAAGGAUCCCACAAUGCCAGCGACCCAGAAGUGCAGUGGGUGACGUAUACCAAUUUCAGCUGGCAUGCAUCCACAGAGUGCUUUCUGUGCUCCUGCUGCAGCACAUGCCUCACUGGGCAGAAGUUCAUGCCAGUAAAAGGGAUGGUUUUCUGUUCAGUAGAAUGUAAGAAGAUGAUGUCUUCGGAGGAGGGCUGUGCAGUGUUCGCGCCAAGGGCUUGAGACAGUUAGCGUGACUCGCCCCAUCUUGGCUGCUGGACCUGUCUGCACUCCCCCCUCUUGAGGGCUGUUGAGCUGAGACAAAGGUCAUGGGCUGAGUCACUGAGGCAAAAACAGAAUACAAAGCAAAGGUCUGCGGUUUAUGAGGACAUUGUGCUGUCUGCUUUCAUGUCCCCAUCAGUCUCUGUGUAAGCGAUAAACUUGCUACAAUUGAGAUGCCUAAGAGGGACAAGAGACCCCUGCCCAUAUUUUCCCUGGAGCUAAGCCUUUGUUCUACCUCCUGAUGGAAAACAGGAUUAACAAGCCACCUUAAGGGCACCAUUGUUUGCUUGCACUGUGUAUCUUUG